rnacentral:rRNA from 1 species
AGAGGAAGUAAAAGUCGUAACAAGGUUUCCGUAGGUGAACCUGCGGAAGGAUCAUUACUGAGAGAGGGACCUCGCGUCCCCCGGGGGGCUUCGGCUCUCCACCUCUUCAACCCGUGUUUAUAAACCUCUGUUGCUUUGGCGAGCGCCGGGGUGCCUCCCACCUCGGCCCUGACCCUAGGUCGGUGCGUUCUCGCCAGAGCCCCCAGCCAUUCUGUUUAUUCAGUGACGUCCGAGUAUGAUCAAAAUUUAAAUCAAAACUUUCAACAACGGAUCUCUUGGUUCUGGCAUCGAUGAAGAACGCAGCGAAAUGCGAUAAGUAAUGUGAAUUGCAGAAUUCAGUGAAUCAUCGAAUCUUUGAACGCACAUUGCGCCCCUUGGUAUUCCGAGGGGCAUGCCUGUUCGAGCGUCAUUGCAACCCUCAAGCUUCGCUUGGUAUUGAGCUUUUCGCCGGAGACGGCGUGCUCAAAAAUUAGUGGCGGUCCAGGGAGACUUCAAGCGCAGUAAAACUUUCCGCUUUCGAAGCUCUCGCCUGUGGCCAGCCGUAAAGCCCCCCGACUUUUCAAUGAUUGACCUCGGAUCAGGUAGGGAUACCCGCUGAACUUAAGCAUAU